UACGUAGGUGGCAAGCGUUGUCCGGAAUUAUUGGCGUAAAGCGCGCGCAGGCGGUCCUUUAAGUCUGAUGUGAAAGCCCACGGCUCAACCGUGGAGGUCAUUGGAACUGGGAACUUGAGUGCAGGAGAGAAGAGUGGAAUUCCACGUGUAGCGGUGAAAUGCGUAGAGAUGUGGAGGAACACCAGUGGCGAAGGCGACUCUUGGCCUGUAACUGA
rnacentral:rRNA from 1 species